rnacentral:rRNA from 1 species
UAGGCAUGCAAGUCGCGGAUCACCUCCUUUCCGCAAUGCCCGAAAGGGUGACGAAGCGACGCCGCGUGUGGGAAGAAGGCCUUCGGGUUGUAAACCACUGUCGGGAGUUAAGAAAUGCAAGGAUAUUAAUAGUGUCUUUGUUUGACUAAGGCUCCGGAGGAAGCCACGGCUAACUCUGUGCCAGCAGCCGCGGUAAUACAGAGGCGGCAAGCGUUGUUCGGAAUUAUUGGGCGUAAAGAGCACGUAGGCGGCUAUGUAAGUCGGUUGUGAAAGCCUUCCGCUCAACGGAAGAACAGCAUCCGAUACUACAUGGCUUGAGUGCGGGAGGGGAGAGUGGAACUUCUGGUGGAGCGGUGAAAUGCGUAGAUAUCAGAAGGAACGCCGGCGGCGAAAGCGGCUCUCUGGCCCAUAACUGACGCUGAGUGCGCGAAAGCUAGGGGAGCAAACGGGAUUAGAUACCCCGGUAGUCCUAGCCGUAAA